GGAGGGGUGGCAGAGUGGUUGAUUGCGCCGGUCCUGAAAACCGGAAGGCCGAAAGGCCUCGUGAGUUCGAAUCUCACCCCCUCCGCCA
rnacentral:tRNA from 1 species